CAGCUGCAGACAUGAGAAAGAAGACUGUGCCGUAUUUUUACAGAGUGUGGUAGAAUGACUAUUUUUAUAACGUGGAGAUGCCUUAUAGAGAAUCUUAUUUAGUCUUUUAAAAAUGCCAAGGUACAAACUUGUCAAGUAGGCUGGAUGUGACUGAAGCCCCCACAAAGACGGGUUAUUACAGAUGGCUAAUACAGAUUCAUGCUACAAUGACAGGCAACCACAUGGGCUACUACACUCCUGCAAAAAUCACCUGCUGAUGCUGCUGUCUCUCUGCCUUUGUCUGAUCCAGAGGCGGCCCCCUCCACCCCUGUCCUCUGCUUGCCCCUUUGGAGUAAUAAAUACCCUUUGUACU